rnacentral:pre_miRNA from 1 species
UGGGGGAGGUCGGAUCCUGGGCUUUGUCCCGGCGCCCAGUGCUCCCAGGCCUGGGCUGUUGGAUUAGCGCUCCCAGCCGUGUAGCUCCCU